rnacentral:lncRNA from 1 species
UCACAAUCUGUCUGUCUGCCUGUCUCUUUCAAACUCAAACUCAAACAGUGGUUCUUGAACGUGACGCUUGGAAGAUGCAAGCUCCAAAAUUUUCAAACCGGCUGUCACCAGCGGACAGCUGGCUGUCACUGGUAACUGGCAUUUCGAGUAGAAAAAGCGCAAGCUCGUUCGUUUCAUUAGGGUUCCGUAAAUUCCAGUGCUGCUCCGUUCAGUCUCCAUCUUUAGGUUUCUAUCUCUGCAUUUCAGUGUGUGAACAUAGGUGUAUAUGUGUAUGGGCGUGUCUGUAUAUUCGCAUACAUUUAAUUGUUUUUGCAAUUUUCCUGUUGCAUUGACAUGCUUUUCUAUAUUCUAUAGUCAAUUUGCAGAAUUAACUUUUCCUUGAGUCGGUUAGACUAUGAAGAGCAGGAAAAUUAAAAUUAAUUAUAGUUCCGAGUCGAAAUUUUCUGAUUUUUAUUUUCCAGUUUAAUUGAGAGUUAAAAAGAGUUUCAAUGAUGAACUUAUUUUAGCGUGUGUUUUCUUCGCUCUUCUUUUUUAACCAUGCAUUCUUCAAAAUAUAACUAUUCCAAAAUACAAUUUUUUCCCCCAAAACACAUCUAAAUGGAGCAGAGAUCAAACGGGGCUUAAUGUUGUUAAAAAAUAAUUGUAUUUUAAAAUUUAUUUUUCUUUUUUUAUUAAUCUUUAGAUGGGUAAACAAGAGUUUGAUGCUGAUCAAAUUUUAGCAUUAGCAUUUGUUUUUAUUUUUUUCAUACUGGACAUUUUCAUAUGUUGUUAGAUGGUAGCGAGCGUUUGGAUUAUGAUGUUGUCC